AUACGGAGGAUGCGAGCGUUAUCCGGAUUUAUUGGGUUUAAAGGGUGCGUAGGCUGUGCGUUAAGUCAGGGGUGAAAUGCCGUCGCUCAACGACGGAGCUGCCCUUGAUACUGGCGUGCUGGAGUACGGAUGCCGUUGGAGGAAUGAGUGGUGUAGCGGUGCAAUGCUUAGAUAUCACUCAGAACACCGAUUGCGAAGGCAUCUGACGAAUCCGUCACUGACGCUGAGGCACGAAAGCGUGGGGAUAGAACAGGAUUAGAUACCCUGGUAUUCCACGCCGUAAACGAUGAUGACUAACCGUCGGCGAUAGACAGCCGGUGGCCAAGCGAAAGCGAUAAGCCAUCCACCUGGGGAGUACGUCGGCAACGAUGAAACUCAAAGGAAUUGACGGGG
rnacentral:rRNA from 1 species